UACGUAGGGUCCGAGCGUUGUCCGGAAUUAUUGGGCGUAAAGAGCUCGUAGGUGGUUUGUCGCGUUGUUCGUGAAAACUCACAGCUCAACUGUGGGCGUGCGGGCGAUACGGGCAGACUGGAGUACUGCAGGGGGAGACUGGAAUUCCUGGUGUAGCGGUGGAAUGCGCAGAUAUCAGGAGGAACACCGGUGGCGAAGGCGGGUCUCUGGGCAGUAACUGACGCUGAGGAGCGAAAGCGUGGGGAGCGAACAGG
rnacentral:rRNA from 1 species